rnacentral:lncRNA from 10 species
CGGGGAACCAGGAGAGCCCUAAGGGCAGCCUUUAGGGACUGAGGAGGGAGGCACCGGGGACCCUGAGGCCAAAGAGGCCCUGAGACUGGAGGUUGCGGAUGACACGGGGCAGAGUUGCAUCUCGGAGGAAAGUAGUCAUUCGUGGGGGCGUGUCCCGGGUCCUGGCGGAUUGACUGAGAGGAUGGCAGGAGAUGGCAAAGUAUCUGAGAACAUAUUUCUUCCCUAUAGGAGUUGAGAAGAGGAGGAAGAAUAAUGGGAGGAGACAGGACCUUUUUCAACUUGACAAAUAGAUUUCUGAGAGAGCAGACACCAUCUUAUUUCUGUUGAAUUGUAUUUAGUAACUCAAAAGGCAUAUACCAAGCUGUCAGAAGCAGCUUCAUUUAAAAGAAAUAAAAUUUCUAGUCCUGCCUGAAGUUUAAGCUAGCCCAUGACUACACAAGUGCAACUGUAUUUCCCAGAAUUAAAGCAGCAGCCUUGGAUCCAGAGAUGGACGCCAAUUGAUGAAGACAGCAGAACUGACUGGCUAGUCUGGGUUCCCUGGAGCAGAGCUGUCUCUCCACCCUAGGUUAUCCACUUACUUUUGUACUGUUAUGUGAGAGAGAAAUAAACUUCUAUCUUCUUUAAGC